CCUACGGGGGGCUGCAGUGGGGAAUAUUGCACAAUGGGCGCAAGCCUGAUGCAGCCAUGCCGCGUGUAUGAAGAAUGCCUUCGGGUUGUAAAGUACUUUCAGUCGUGAGGAAGGUGUUAAGGUUAAUAACCUUAGCAAUUGACGUUAGCGACAGAAGAAGCACCGGCUAACUCCGUGCCAGCAGCCGCGGUAAUACGGAGGGUGCGAGCGUUACUCGGAAUUACUGGGCGUAAAGGGCACGCAGGCGGUUAAGGAAGAGGGAAGUGAAAGCGGAGGGGGUAAGGAGGGAAGGGAAUAGAAGAAAGGUGAGAUAGAGUCUAGUAGAGGGGGGUAGAAGUCAAGGUGUAGCGGUGAAAUGCGUAGAGAUGGGGAGGAAUAACGGUGGCGAAGGCGGGCCCAUGGACAAAGAAUGAAGCUCAUGUGAGAAAGCGUGGGGAGCAAACAGGAUUAGAGAGAACUGUAGUC
rnacentral:rRNA from 1 species